GCGGUAAUANCGGAGGAUGCAAGCGUUAUCCGGAAUGAUUGGGCGUAAAGCGUCCGCAGGUGGUUUAUCAAGUCUGCUGUCAAAGAGUUUGGCUCAACCAAAUAAAGGCAGUGGAAACUGACAGACUGGAGUGCGGUAAGGGCAGAGGGAAUUCCUGGUGUAGCGGUGAAAUGCGCAGAGAUCGGAAAGAACACCAACGGCGAAAGCACUCUGCUGGGCCGACACUGACACUGAGAGACGAAAGCUAGGGGAGCGAAUGGGAUUAGAUACCCCAGUAGUC
rnacentral:rRNA from 1 species